GACGAACGCUGGCGGCGUGCUUAACACAUGCAAGUCGAACGAUGAACCCGGAGCUUGCUCCGGUGGAUUAGUGGCGAACGGGUGAGUAACACGUGAGUAACCUGCCCUUGACUCUGGGAUAACUGCGGGAAACUGUAGCUAAUACCGGAUACGACCCUCGGCGGCAUCGCCAGGGGGUGGAAAGAAUUUCGGUCAAGGAUGGACUCGCGGCCUAUCAGCUAGUUGGUGAGUUAACGGCUGACCAAGGCGACGACGGGUAGCCGGCCUGAGAGGGUAACCGGCCACACUGGGACUGAGACACGGCCCAGACUCCUACGGGAGGCAGCAGUGGGGAAUAUUGCACAAUGGGCGCAAGCCUGAUGCAGCAACGCCGCGUGAGGGAUGACGGCCUUCGGGUUGUAAACCUCUUUUAGUAGGGAAGAAGCGAAAGUGACGGUACCUGCAGAAAAAGCACCGGCUAACUACGUGCCAGCAGCCGCAGUAA
rnacentral:rRNA from 1 species